rnacentral:rRNA from 1 species
CCAUGCCGCGUGUGUGAAGAAGGUCUUCGGAUUGUAAAGCACUUUAAGUUGGGAGGAAGGGCAUUAACCUAAUACGUUAGUGUUUUGACGUUACCGACAGAAUAAGCACCGGCUAACUCUGUGCCAGCAGCCGCGGUAAUACAGAGGGUGCAAGCGUUAAUCGGAAUUACUGGGCGUAAAGCGCGCGUAGGUGGUUUGUUAAGUUGAAUGUGAAAGCCCCGGGCUCAACCUGGGAACUGCAUCCAAAACUGGCAAGCUAGAGUACGGUAGAGGGUGGUGGAAUUUCCUGUGUAGCGGUGAAAUGCGUAGAUAUAGGAAGGAACACCAGUGGCGAAGGCGACCACCUGGACUGAUACUGACACUGAGGUGCGAAAGCGUGGGGAGCAAACA